rnacentral:misc_RNA from 1 species
UUGAUUUUUUUUAAUAAGACUCAGACAAUAAAGUAAAGAGUUUAAAUCCUUCGGCGGGAACUCGCCCGCAAAGCCGACGGUCUGUUAAGAACGUCCCGCCGAAGCAACAGGUCAAUACACAAAGGGUGGGAGUUCUAUCGUUAAAUAGAUAACUCGAUAAUGAUCCUUCCGCAGGUUCACCUAGAAUAAACAGUUAGUAAACAAAGUUCACACAAAAAGGGAAAUUUUUUUAACUCACCUACGGAAA